rnacentral:lncRNA from 1 species
CACCAGCGGGAUGGGGUUUGGAGGUGGCCUUGGUGAUGAGGCAGGUGCCUCGGGAAUGGGCUCCUGACCUUAGAGAAGGGCGAGAGGACACUGUGGGCUCUUCCAUGCCCUUCAGUGACCUCUGCCCCUGAGAACCCCGUGUCUGUCCCUCUGGAGGCAGCCCGCAAGGCACAUGUGAGGCAGAGACCAGGCCCUCAGCAGGCCUGGAUCUGGGGCCUCAGCCCUGGACUGUGAGCAGCGCCCGUCUACUCCUGGCCAAUCCCCAGCCCAGCCACACGGUUGGAGCAGCAGGAAUGGGAGAGGACAGGCCCGGGCAGGGCCCCGGAAGGCCUCGCAAGCAGGAGGUCAGCCCCUUCGAGGGGGAAGAGCCAGCCUGCGUGGGGACAACAGGGCACUCCCAGCUGAGUGACAAUGGGCAGGGUCACAGUGUGAGCAGAGCCCCACUGGUCAGUCCUCAGAGUCGUAGUGACCCAAGGCCACUGCUGCUCAAAGCCACCGAGUUUGGGGUGGGCUGUUAGGCCUCAGCCGGCCACUGAGAACAGGGACCCCCCUGUGGUCCACUGAGGGCCCAGCCCCGGGCUCAGCUCCGUGAACAUCAGGACUAUGACAAGCCGCAGACGCCGAGGGCCACUCUGACCCUCUGCAGAGGAGCGGGGAAGGCGGCCACCCCUCUGUGACCACCCUCCAGCAGCAACCAGGACGUGACACAGCAGUCACAGCCGAGCGCUGCUGUGGCUCAGCAGGCCCCUCGUUGCUGCCUGUGACGGUCCCCAGCGCCGGGUGCAGGUCGGAAGCUGAGCCGCCCAGCCCAUGAGCAAGGUGUCAAGACCCACAGGUCGGUUAGUGACCAACCCAACGUCCACAGCCACACAAGAGGCCCUGUGACUGGGACCGGGGUGGAAGCCCCCCUGGUGGCAUUCGAGCCAUUUAGGAGCAGCAGGCCUGGGGGUCCUGCCUCGUGGGCCUCUCCUGCUGACCAGUCUGCUCCAGGCCUCUUAGAGGACGGGGAGGGCCCACCGUGGGGAGGAGGCGUCCCAUUAGAGGCAACGCAGUAAGUCGUUGAGCGUCUGGCCCAGGUGACACUCUAGCCAGGCACUGCUGGUCCACUUACACACACAGGGUCAUUCUUAGGAAAGCUGCACCCGCAGGUCCCUCUUGGGCAGUGGGAGGGUGGACACAGAACACCCAACACUGGACAAACCCCAAAGCAAUCACGGGGGGAAGCCCACGGACCCUUGACCUCAGUAGCAACAAUGUCACCAUCACCAUAGUGGAGCACUGUCACAGUGAACCAACCCAGGCCAGGACCAGUAAGGGGGGAGCCCGGAGGAGACUUGGGGGCGGGGGACACAUGGGAACUCCACUCUGCUGCAAACCUGACCUGCUCUGAAAACCCCUGGCAGCCUUUAAAAGUGACGAGGAAAGCAAGAGAAGAGGGGAAGGAAGCAGAGGAAGUCCCCCCACCAUCCUCACUGGAUUGCUCCUGCUCCGUUUAGUCUCUGUUCUUAACUAUGUCAAGGUUGGAAGCAUGUGUCAACUUGACUGGGCAGUGAGGUGCCCAGAUAUUUGGUCAAAUACCCUGAGCAUGUCUGUAAGCACAGCUGGAAGAGGGCAGCUCGUGAAUCAGUGAAGUGAAGCAGGUGCUCCCCAGGGGGGGUGGGCCUCAUCCAAUCAGUCCCAGGCCUCAUGGAACAAAGAGGCUGCCCUCUCCUACGUGAGAAGGAUCGCCUCCUGCUCUUGUCCACCUUUGGUCUCCACUGAAACAGCUUUCCCUGGGGCUGCCAGGGAUCAAACAGGAGGGACACUAUCGACUCCAGGUCUCCAGCUGCCCACUCACCCUGCAGAAUCUGGGACUUUCCAGCCUCCAUAAUAGUGUAAGCCAAUCCCCUAUUACAUAGACGUCAGGGCCAGGGAGGCUGUGCUGCAGGGAUGAGAGAGCCCAUCCCACAGCCACCACCGAGAGGCUUGGCUUCACCCGAUGCGCGGGUCUGAGGCGGCCCUGGUCAUCCUGUCCCUCAGUGAAGGGUCGAACUCUGGUCACAGGUCGGCCUGGCAGGGGGAGCCAUGGUCAGCCUUCACUCCUGGCUGAGUCGGAGCCGCCCUCCUGUCACCGCCCGUCCCCUCGGGAUUGAAGUCCACAUAGUCCUGUGGAGCGUGUGGCGGGGGGCUGGCCCACACAGCCCUCUGCUCGUGGGAAAGCGGGCGGGAGGCAGCUCCGCUUAUCUGCCCCGGAAGCCAGCAGAGGAGGUGGGAGGGAUUCCGGAAUCAGGAGGAGGAGCAGGAAGACCACCGAUGACGUCCCCGUCCCCGUCCCCACUCUGCUGCUCACCGUGUGCCUUGGUGACCUCCCUGGCCAUGGGUUUCCUCUCCUGAGGGUGGGGAUGCUGUCGGGCCGGGUCCCCGGGAGUCGGGGCCUGGUCUGCUCCUUCCCGAGUCCUGCCAGCGUUUUCCUGGGGACACGCAGCCCGGAGCCGGCCGGGCACAGCCACGGAGCUUCUGCACCCCACGAGCCCAGGGCUCCCCACAGCGGGUGGAGGGUCUCGACCCGCACCUCUGCUCUCUUUCCCCCACUCCCCCUGGCCCUCCUCACAGGGCCGCUGGGCAGGUUCUGGGAACAGUGGACCCAGCGGGUGACCCUGUGGCCUAUGGCCCCUGGCCAAGCACCCCUGCUGCCUCCCGCCAUGGAGGGAGAGGCCUGGAGGCAGCGCUCGCCAGCCGGCUGGAGACCGUCCUGCUCGCAGGCCCCACGGGGCCCGGACGUGCUCAUCAGCUUCUGUGCCAGCUGGGCACCUCUUCUGGGCUCACGUUCCUGAUGCAGAUGCCCCCCUGAUAUCGCCAAUAAUCAUGGUUUUCUGCAUCUCCCCCAGAAAGUUAUAAAAUCAAGAGAAUGAGAGGAAGUGUCACACUCUGUGAGAACUGAGCUUGACAGUCAACAGAGACGUCACCGGUCCCAAGGAAUCCACUGAUGUCAUCGAUAGCGACUGCAGGAAACGGGCUCUUGGGCUCGCUCAGGUCCAGUUCCCUGGACCAGGCAGGAGCGGGAGGGAAGCCGGCCGUCCGCCCAGGCUCACCACCUUAUCGCCACAGCCACCAGGUGUGACUGAGCUCCGGCUCGUCCCUCAGCGAGGGCUCCAGCAAGCAGAGAACCGGGAGCAGCCCUGUGCGCCAGCCCUCCACAAACCCUGAGCGGUGCCCGCCGGGCAACGAGGCGAGGAAGCAGAGUGGCCCUCCCGGGGGCCGACUAGGGCGUGACGGCCUGGCACUGUGAGGCGCCCAGAAGACCCCCGCAGGCUGGCUCCGGAGGACGAACCUUCACCAGGGACUUCAGCCGAGCAAUGCUAACCGCUAACCCGUCACCCACUACAGCAGAAGAGCCGCGUGGAGUCGCAGCCGGCCUGCACACAGCAGGCAAGAGGCAAACUGACCAGGACCCCGGACAGAGGCCUGGCCCUGAUGAAGGAAAGAGAAACAGGAGAAGCCGGCCCACAGCCCACCGCAGGCGUCUGGGGGAGCCGGGCACCCCACGAGGAAUGAGACCGCCAUGUCUGGCCACUAAAGCCGGCCACGCUUUAGAAUUUCACCAUUAAAAAGCUGCAACUUUUAGUCACCAAUG